UACGAAGGGGGCUAGCGUUGCUCGGAAUCACUGGGCUUAAAGGGUGCGUAGGCUGCGCGGAAAGUUGGGUGUGAAAUACCUCGGCUCAACCGAGGAACUGCGCUCAAAACUACCGUGCUUGAGGGAGACAGAGGUGAGCGGAACUUAGGGUGGAGCGGUGAAAUGCGUUGAUAUCCUAAGGAACACCCGUGGCGAAAGCGGCUCACUGGGUCUCUUCUGACGCUGAGGCACGAAAGCUAGGGUAGCGAACGGG
rnacentral:rRNA from 1 species